rnacentral:rRNA from 1 species
AAAAUAGAUACCCCCGGUAGUCCACGCCGUAAAACGACUGAGUGCUAAGUGUUAGUAGGGUUUCCGUCCCUUUAGUGCUGCAGCUAACGCAAUUAAGCACUCCGCCUGGGGAGUACGGCCGCAAGGCUGAAACUCAAAGGAAUUGACGGGGGCCCGCACAAGCGGUGGAGCAUGUUAGGUUUAAUUCGAAGCAACGCGAGGAACCUUACCAGGUCUUGACAUCCUCUGCCAACCCUAGAGAUAGGGCGUUUCCCCGUUCGGGGGACAGAGUGACGAGGUGGUGCAGUUGGUUGUCGUCAGCUCGUGUCGUGAGAUUGGUUUGGGUUAACGUCCCGCGAACGUAGCGCUAACCCGUUGAUCUUAGUUGCCUAGCAUUCAGUUGGGCACUCUAAGGUGACUGCCGGUGACAACCGGAGGAAGGUGGGAUGACGUCAAAUCAUCAUCGCCCCGUUAUGACCUGGGCUACGACACGUGCUACAACUGGAUGGUACGAAAGAGCGUGCGAACCCGCGAGGGUAAGCGAAUCUACAUAAACGCAUUCUCAGUUCGGAUUGUACGG